AAAGGUGGCAGUAAUGCUGUUGUUUGAGGAUGAGCCUGCGCUCUAUUAGUUAGUUGGUGAGGUAACGGCUUACCAAGGCGAUGAUAGAUAGGCGGCCUUAACGGGUGGUCGCCCACACUGGGAUUGAGAUACGGCCCAGACUCCUACGGGAGGCAGCAGUCGAGAAUAGUCUACAAUGGACGAAAGUCUGAUAGUGCGACGCCGCGUGAACGAAGAAUCCCUUCGGGGUGUAAAGUUCUUUUAUAUGUGAGCAAUGCCUUAUAUGUGAAUAGCAUGUAGGGAGAGAUAUUAGCAUAUGAAUAAGCAACGGCUAACUCCGUGCCAGCAGCCGCGGUAACACGGGGGUUGCUAGCGUUGUCCGGAAUUACUAGGCGUAAAGGGCAGGUAGGCGGAUAGAUAAGUUUGAUGUUAAAGGCGACGGCUUACCCGUCGUAAGGCAUUAGAUACUGUUUAUCUGGAAUACGGUUGGGGAAGACAGAAUUCCUGGUGUAGCGGUGGAAUGCGCAGGGGUCAGGAGGAAUACCAAAAGCGAAGGCAGUCUUCUAAGCCGUUAUUGACGCUAAACUGCGAAGGU
rnacentral:rRNA from 1 species